rnacentral:rRNA from 1 species
AUUGAACGCUGGCGGCAUGCUUUACACAUGCAAGUCGAACGGUAACAGGGAGCUUGCUCCGCUGACGAGUGGCGAACGGGUGAGUAAUGCGUCGGAACGUGCCGAGUAGUGGGGGAUAACGCAUCGAAAGGUGUGCUAAUACCGCAUACGUACUGAGGUAGAAAGUGGGGGACCUUCGGGCCUCACGCUAUUCGAGCGGCCGACGUCUGAUUAGCUAGUUGGUGAGGUAAAGGCUCACCAAGGCGACGAUCAGUAGCGGGUCUGAGAGGAUGAUCGGCCACACUGGGGCUGAGACACGGCCCAGACUCCUACGGGAGGCAGCAGUGGGGAAUUUUGGACAAUGGGCGCAAGCCUGAUCCAGCCAUGCCGCGUGUCUGAAGAAGGCCUUCGGGUUGUAAAGGACUUUUGUCCGGGAGCAAAUGCCUGGUGUUAAUAGCACUGGGAGCUGGGAGUACCGGAAGAAUAAGCACCGGCUAACUACGUGCCAGCAGCCGCCGUAACAC